GAGGCCAUAGUAUAAAGGCAGCAGGCGGGCAACCAGGCUCUUCCAAUGCACAGUGGUGAGAUUGGUCUCAUCACAAAAGACAACUCUUUUCCGCAGAGUAGCUGUUGACAUUAUGGUUACGCAGGCACUUUGUUGACUCUAGAGAACCUCGGGCCAAUCGCACAUCCCCAUGGCGGCGACUUUUCAUUCGGAUGUCAUCCAUAUCAACUUUCGAUUCCAGUUUCUGUGCCUACCAUGGUGACCACGGGUAACAGGGAACCAGGGUUCCAUUCCG